CGCAAUUUCAAAAUUGUCCGUAUAAGCACCGUUUAUCGUGAUUGAAAAAUCUAUACUUUAUAAACGUAAUAUUAUUACAUGUUAACUACAAUGUCUUCUUUUAAUCAAUGAUUACGACGACAUCUUCAUAGCGUCUACCAGUUUUUUGUGUUCAUCAUGGCUUCGACGGAAUCCUUAGUAUGCGAUACACUCGAUCUAAGCGGUCAAGGUUUGAAGAAACUUCCUCGUUGUCCGUCAGAUGCAGAUAUCAGCACAUUGAUCAUUGACGAUAAUGAGCUCCAGCGUCUCGAUAAUCUUGAUUCUUAUCACAGAAUUACUAAGCUAUCAAUAGUAAGGAAUCAAUUGCUUCGUAUGUAUGGGGUAUCAAAGUUACAUAAUCUUGUAACUCUUAAUUUAGCAAAUAAUGGUAUCUUGACUAUAGAAGGCAUAAAGGAUAUGAUAAAUUUACAAACACUUUGCUUAGCUGGCAAUAAUAUAAAGUCUAUUGAACACUUGCACACAAAUACUAAGCUGGAGCAUUUAGAUUUAUCUGAAAAUAGCAUCAGUCACAUUUCAGACAUAUCUUAUCUUCGAAAUUUAAAGGAACUGUUUUUACAUAACAAUCGCAUAAUAACAUUAAGGCAAUGUGAACGCUAUUUACCUACUUCUCUAGAAACAUUUACAUUGUCAAACAAUAACAUUACAGAUUUGAAUGAAAUGUCACAUUUAGCUAAUUUGAAAAAUAUAGUCAAUUUUUCAAUUGCUAAUAAUCCAUGUGUCAGUAUGACAGGUAACAGUAUUGGUUUUGACUAUCGACCUUUUGUUAUCAAUUGGUGUAUGAGCUUGAAAUCAAUUGAUGGCUAUCAUGUUGAUCCUAUUGAAAGUUUAAAAGCAGAGUGGCUAUAUUCUCAGGGACGCGGUAGACAAUUCCGUGUUGGCGAACAUGCAUUACUUGCACAGUAUUUAGCGUCUGUUUGCCCACUUUCUGGUGAAUCCCUAGAAAAUGAAACUGACAGGAAGCUAAGGCUAAUUUUGAGUAAAGCACAACAUCAUCAACAGCAAUUAAAUCAACAAAGUGAUACUGGAAGUGUGCACAGCUUAAGUAGCGUCGGAAUGAGUCCUUCUCCGGCUACUAGGCGUAGACUUAGUCAUAACAGGACAGGUUCUCCUAGACGUACCAUUGCGCCAAUGUUGACAUACUAUGAAGAUAAAUGCUUACAGUCACCAAAAUUUUAUGAAGCAAAGUACUGUGUGUGCCAUUCGCCUUGUAAAGGUUCAUCAAGAAAUUCAUUGAGAAUGAGGUCACCUGAUAGAAUGGUAUCUAGUUGUCACACUGAUGCUAUAGUUUCUUCAUGCCAUACUUUAUUAAGUGAAGAUCAGGAAUCAUUGAUGACUCAGAGUUUAGAUCCAAAUAUGCUUUGUGGUACUUUAGCUAACAAGACUCCAAAUACGGUUGUUUUGCAAGAUACAGAAGAAACAUCUAGUCCUCUGCAAGCUGCAACAAAAUUAGUGCCAGUUCCUGAAUCUUUAAUGAGUCCAGAUUUUCGCCCACCAUCUGGCCUUUCUCGAGUGUUAGCAAAAACUCCACCAAGCAAAUUAACAUCACCUUGUCAAAUUACAAUGCCAAGCAAACUCAUUUCUGAUGGAGAUGGCAAGGCUAUUCCCAUAAUAAAUACAGUAAAUCCAAUGGCUAAGACAAAUCUUACUUCUAUAAAAGCGAAUGCACUUGUAAAAAGUAGUUCAGCAACAAAUUGUGCUGUUGGAAAACCAAAUAUUGCUAAGCCUAUUAUUACAAAUACUAGUACUAAAUGUCCCCAUAGUGUGAAAAUCAAUAAUUACGUUCAAAGCAAAACAUUGCCUGCAAAACGAAAUACAAGAAAUUCGCCAAACUUAGGCAGAAAUAUACCAAGGCCAAAGAGUGCAAAUGAUAAAAUUAAAACUAGUGUCAUUAAAAGCAAUGGAGAUGGCGAUGCAGAUAAUGCUACUCAAAGUAGUGAUGAAGAUAGUGAAGUAUGUCAAGCGAAAUUAGAUAGCAUUCGACAUAGAGCUAUUCAAAGAAGACAGGAAGAUAAUAAAGACCAAGAUGAAGCUGAGAAAGCUGCAAUAUGUAUUCAAAGGAUGUGGAGAGGAUAUCAUACUAGGAAUCUUAAUAAAAAAGCAACCACUAUAUUGAAGACUAUCGAAAUGAUAAGGACGAAUAAAUAUAUCCAGAAACUCUCUACUGAUAUGGAAGCUACUCGAACUGCGUUAGAAAGUGAACAUAAAUUACAGUUAUUACAAAUGCAAGCAAUUAAUGCAUUGUGGAAGAAAGUUGUUAGUCUUCAACCUACUGCUAAUCGAGAUUCUACGAACACUGAUAACGAAAAUAUUGCACAAAAUGUAGACGUUGUAACUAAUCUAGCACAAACAUGUAAUUUGUUGCAUACUCAGGUUCAACAAUUACAAGAUUCUAUGUCAGAAAUAAAACGAUGCAUGUCGAAUAUGCAAACAAAAGCCAAUCUUAUUGAUAACGGUGUUGCAACACAAACGGAAAUAUCAGCAGUCCAUACCCCAGCGGGCGAAGAAAAUAUGUUUCCUUAUGCACGACCACAUAGACCACAAACUUUGCCAAUUCAUCAAACGAUUCAUGAAGGGAAUGAGAAUAAAAGUUUUGCAUCUAAUUUAAUUGAUAAUGUGUUAAAAAAAGUAUCUCAGUCUACUGAUACGACAGAUGAUGAAGUUAAUACUGACAUCUUAAACUCUAAUGAAAAUCCCGAAUUAUUGAACUCAACUGAACAUCCUGACAUGUUUAAAAGUUGCGAAGAGAUUAUAGAACCUGAUUUCAAGGACGUAGUGGAACAUGAUGUAAAACAUGAAUAUGACGUAAUUGAUAAUGCUGUUAUAAACGGUGAAGUUUGUGAAGAAACACUAUGUAAAGAGUUACACAAUUUUAUUGAAACAGAAAUUACAACAGAAAAUUGUGCAAAUUUGGAAACGGAAAACAAUUCAGAAGAAAUUGAAAAGGAAUAACUUUAAUCUGAGGAGACAUAGAAACAGCAAAAACAAACUGAAGGUGCAAAGUUGAAAGACUUGAACAAAAAAAGGAAGAAACAAAUGUGAAUUCCAAUAGAUAGUCUAACUCAUGAAUGGAAUUAAUACAUUUUUAACUAAAAAUACUCACUGUACAUAGGUUCAGAGACUAGUCUUAAUUAUAUUCAGAUAACAGAAUUUAGAAAAAUAUUAUGAAGGACUAUUGUAACAUUUUACAAGAUUUCAUAAAAAAAAUCUAUUGGAUUCUUUUCCCAUUAUAAUAGCAAAAACAAACGCUUAGGUCCCACCGAGAUUUGAACUCGGAUCGCUGGAUUCAGAGUCCAGAGUGCUAACCAUUACACCAUGGGACC